rnacentral:lncRNA from 1 species
AUGGAACUGGCUGGCUGAGAGUCUGUCACAGGAGUGAAUGACUAAGAAGACAGAAGUCUUUAAGGGUGAAGUAGACUCCAUGAAUUCCUCAGAAAGGAAAGUAAAGGGCGACUUUGACUGCCUUCCGGAUUCCUUGUGUGAAAGGAUAAUUCUUAAGUUGGAAUAUAAUCAUAAAUCUCAGACAUAAACUGAAUGGAUUUUAGAGAUGUUAUUUAAAUCAUUAGUCAGUGAGGGAACCAGUAAGACAUCACAAAAACCCAGUAAGAUGGUUCAAAGGAGAAUUCAAAGAACCAGCAACAAUGCUGAAAUCAAUUUACAGAUUGAUCCAAAACUGGACUCAGUCCACAAGAGAGGAGGGAAAUCAAUUGCAUUUUCAGGGAACAAAAUUCAUUUGCAUGUCGAUGGAUAAGAAUCACUUGCAUAACUGUCAGUUACCUAGGAUUUACAGAAUUGUAAAGGAGCUCAAAGUCAAUGAAAGGCAGAGAGGCCUCACACAGCCAAGUCACCUGGAAGACUACUCAGAUGAUCCCCACUGCCUGGUUUUUCACUGAAGACAACUUGAUCCAACUGGACUGCAGCUGGAGCAUGUUACUGCUCACAUUCUGAGACCCAGAACCUAUAGGACAGACCACUAUUUCAUGGAGCAGUCAGAUUGUCCCACCAAACAUCUCCCAGCUAGUUCCCGUCUCAGAGGCACCCUGGUGUUUCGUGUGUGUUUAGCAUACAGACGCUCCUGUUUGUGCUUGCAAGAUUCCUUGUCCUGGAAGAAGCCAGCCACCAGCCUGGGAGGACACUCAAAUAGCUCUUCGGAAAGAUCCUCAAGAGGAGGAGGUGACCAAAGGCCAACAUCAACUUGCCAGCCAUGCAGGCGAGCCACAUCAGAAGUGGAUAAGAUGAGGUGGUGUUGUGAACUAAGGUGACACGAGUGGUUUGAGAUUACUAGGUGGAUUCGAGACUUGGUAAUGGAUUGAAUGUGAAGAUGAGGAAUGCUUGCAGAAAUAAGCAUCUGGGUGCGCAAAGCGGCAUUUAUGGAGGUUGGAAAGACUAGAGGAAGAACACACGGGUCUGAGAACUCAGUUAAGUUAAGAACUCAGUUUUAUAUAUUGUGAUCGUCAAUUCCAUAGUUUCGGCAAGAUAAAAGAAUGUGGCCAGUCCUGGGGAAAGGAUUUGUCUUAUAUCUACUCCUAGUUUUGACAGCAACCAGCUGCUUCCAGAUAGCAUCUAUCAAACGUUAUGGAGGUACCUUCUCAUGCAUUUCUUCCGCUAAUGAUCUUAUGUUUGAGGAUCUCAAACUGCAGAUAAGCAAACAUGUUACUCAUUAGCACAGCUCUGGCUGGACAACCCUUUAGGAUUAAAUGAGUCGCUGCUAACCACAUUAGAGCCGUCACCUGGAGGUCUCCUUUGAGGAAAACACCCCUACGCUCUUCCUUUUGGUCACUGCCAAAGGAGUAUGGGAUUGUGUUCUUCAAAGAUCAAGUGUUUGUGAUAAAAAUCUGUACUGUUUCCUCCUCUCGGGCAUGCUGUCUCUGGAUGUUUUCUGAGUAAAACACACUCAGCUAACUGGCAGAACACAGAACUGUUUCAUGAAAGUGAACACACAGUUUAGGUAGAUAAACCACUUUUAUUUCACUAUUUUAAUAUUGCUUGUUUCAGAGAGAUACAGGUAUGUAAAUUCUGCCUUUCAGAAUUUAGGAGGCUCAUUCACCUUUUAUGUAUCUACCAGAUCUUCUUGGGAGCAGGAAGAUACAAAUAUAACUCUUUAAAUCAUAUCUUUGGGUAAAAAUAGGCCCUAGCUAUUGAAAUAUAGACAAGAAAAUAUAAAAUAAUGUAAUAUUUUUAAAAUGUAAAAAAUUCCCUCAAAAUAGAACUAGAUCUUUCAUGGAAUUCUUUGGUUAACUGUUCUACAACCGGCUUUUAGAAUGGCAUUAUUCUCUGAACAACACAAAGAACUAUUUUUUCCUUGAGAAUUUCUCUCCCUUGCUUGGUCUCCUUGCCAGCGGGAUUUCUCUCAAAUCACACGUAUUUUCUCCAGGUGUGGUUGGCGGCAGCUUCGCAAAUGUAAGCUCGUUAGUUGCAGGCAUCGCGGUCCAGUGGCAAGAGCACCAGCCCCGGCAUGUGGCAUCUCCCUGGGAGCGAACUUCUACCUCCGAGUCAACCACCAGGAGCCCAUUUCUUUAUUGAUAAGUAGGACACUACUGGCGAUACUUGCCUUGGUGGGUUUGUGCGAGGAUUAAUGAGCUGGGUGUGAAUUCAGAAACCACGGAGGACCACCCUCCCAAGGUAAGAUGUUGUUCUGCUUCCUCCUGCGCGGAGGAAGUUUUCCUUCAGUCGCCCCUCUUCUCAUCCCCACUGUCUCUGCCUUGGCAAAGACCACCUUCCUGUCUGCCCUGGACGCUUGAACAGCGUCUUCAACUCCAGCCUUGUCUUCCUGAAGUCUCUCCUCCAUCAUGCUGCCCACGCACUCUUUCCCAGAUGCAAAUCUCACGAGGCUGCCACCCUUCUUAAACUGAUGGAUUUCUCUGUAUGUCUUAUAGAAAAGUCCGGGGUCCAUGAAAUGGCUUUUGGGGCUGCCCCCGGCCGCCCCAUCCUCCAUUCUGCUACCACUGCUCUGGCCACACUGACCCACCUUCCAUCCUCCAAACCUCCCCUGGGUCUUUGCUGCUUUCUCUUCCUGGAAUCCCCUUUUUCCUAGCCAGCCGGAUGAGUUACUGCUACUUACCUUUCUUGCUCUAGCUUAAACCUCACCAACUUUUCCCUGACUCCCAGCCCC